AUUGAACGCUGGCGGAAUGCUUUACACAUGCAAGUCGAGCGGCAGCGCGGCCUUCGGGCUGGCGGCGAGCGGCGAACGGGUGAGUAAUGCAUCGGAACAUGCCCAGUCGUGGGGGAUAACACUUCGAAAGAAGUGCUAAUACCGCAUACGCCCUGAGGGGGAAAGCGGGGGAUCGCAAGACCUCGCGCGAUUGGAGUGGCCGAUGUCAGAUUAGCUAGUUGGUGGGGUAAAGGCCUACCAAGGCGACGAUCUGUAGCUGGUCUGAGAGGAUGAUCAGCCACACUGGGACUGAGACACGGCCCAGACUCCUACGGGAGGCAGCAGUGGGGAAUUUUGGACAAUGGGGGCAACCCUGAUCCAGCCAUUCCGCGUGAGUGAAGAAGGCCUUCGGGUUGUAAAGCUCUUUCGGCAGGAACGAAACGGUGGGCUCUAACAUAGUCCGCUAAUGACGGUACCUGAAGAAGAAGCACCGGCUAACUACGUG
rnacentral:rRNA from 1 species